rnacentral:tRNA from 1 species
GGCGGGUUGAUGUAAAGGUAACAUAUAUGGCUCAUGACCAUACAUUUUAGGUUCGAAUCCUAGACCCGCUU